rnacentral:rRNA from 1 species
AGUGAACGCUGGCGGUAGGCCUAACACAUGCAAGUCGAACGGCAGCACAGUAAGGGCUUGCUCUUACGGGUGGCGAGUGGCGGACGGGUGAGGAAUACAUCGGAAUCUACUUUUUCGUGGGGGAUAACGUAGGGAAACUUACGCUAAUACCGCAUACGACCUACGGGUGAAAGCAGGGGAUCUUCGGACCUUGCGCGAUUGAAUGAGCCGAUGUCGGAUUAGCUAGUUGGCGGGGUAAAGGCCCACCAAGGCGACGAUCCGUAGCUGGUCUGAGAGGAUGAUCAGCCACACUGGAACUGAGACACGGUCCAGACUCCUACGGGAGGCAGCAGUGGGGAAUAUUGGACAAUGGGCGCAAGCCUGAUCCAGCCAUACCGGGUGGGUGAAGAAGGCCUUCGGGUUGUAAAGCCCUUUUGUUGGGAAAGAAAAGCAGCAGGUUAAUACCCCGCUGUUCUGACGGUACCCAAAGAAUAAGCACCGGCGAACUUCGU